rnacentral:snRNA from 1 species
GUGCUCACUGCAGCACAUAUACUAAAAUUUGAAUGAUACAGAGAAGAUUAGCAUGGCCCUUGUGCAAGGAUGACACAUGAAGUGUCAUGAACAUUCAUGAAGUGUUCUAUAUUUUU